rnacentral:rRNA from 11 species
UUAAAUUGAAGAGUUUGAUCAUGGCUCAGAUUGAACGCUGGCGGCAGGCCUAACACAUGCAAGUCGAACGGUAACAGGAAGCAGCUUGCUGCUUUGCUGACGA